UAAAUCUCGACGACUGAAGUGGCCCGUAAUCUCUCAUUACCAUUACCUACUUCCUAACUCACCAUAUGUCUUUCUCUUCAUAGGAGUAUCUCUUACACGCUUUAUCCUAGAAGUGAUCAAUAUUUUAUUCAUUCUUUUUCCAUUUGAAAAGAUGAUUUCUUGGCUUAGCAAAUAUUUCAUCAUCAUCCUCUUCACACUGAUUUUCCAUGGGCGUCUUGGAUUUUCAGACAACAAUAAACUCCACGAGGCUGAAGUGAGAGCACUAAAGGAGAUAGGGAAGAAGCUAGGGAAGAAAGACUGGGACUUCAACAAAGAUCCAUGUAGUGGUCAAGGCAACUGGGUGGUUACCACUUACACAUCCAAAGAGUUUGAGAGUAAUAUCACUUGCGAUUGCUCCUUUCUUCCUCUGAACUCAUCUUGCCAUGUCAUCAGAAUAGCUCUGAAGUCGCAGAACUUAACAGGCGUUGUCCCUCCUGAGUUCUCCAAGCUUCGUCACCUCAAAGUUUUAGACCUUAGCCGUAACUAUCUGACUGGUUCCAUUCCAAAGGAAUGGGCUUCUAUGCGCCUAGAAGAUUUAUCUUUCAUGGGGAACAGAUUGUCUGGUCCAUUCCCCAAAGUCCUAACUCGCCUUACAACGCUCAGAAACUUGAGUCUCGAAGGAAAUCUGUUUUCAGGACAAAUCCCUCCUGAGAUUAAAAGGAUGAUUCAUUUGGAGAGACUUCAUCUUACUUCAAAUGCUUUCACUGGCCCGUUGCCUGAAGAACUUGCACUUCUCCAGAACUUGACUGAUAUGAGGAUAAGUGACAAUAACUUCACUGGCCGGAUACCAGAUUUUAUCGGCAAUUGGACAAGUAUAAUGAAAUUGCAGUUGCAUGGUUCAGGUUUGGAUGGUCCGAUACCUUCUAGUAUUUCAGCCUUAACCAGCCUGACCGACCUGAGAAUUAGCGAUUUAGGAGGCAAACCGUCUCCUUUCCCUCCAUUGAAUAACCUGGACUCUAUCAAGACACUGAUACUGAGAAAAUGCAAUUUAAAUGGUGAAAUUCCAAAGUAUAUUGGGAAGCUGAAGAAGCUUAAAACACUUGACCUCAGCUUCAACCAGCUAACUGGUGAGAUUCCUUCAACGUUUGAAAAUAUGAAGAAAGCCGAUUUCAUUUAUUUGACAGGAAACAAGCUGACAGGAGCUAUUCCAAGCUACUUCGUUAAUAAAAACAAAAACGUUGAUGUUUCUUACAACAACUUCACCGAUGCAAGUACAAUUACCGGGAGUAAAUGCAGCGAUGUUACCUCUAAUUGGGUGGAAGGCUUCUCCACGGGGAAUAAAUCACGCAAGGAAUCAUCAUGUUACCUUCAUCACAUCCCUUGUCGUCUUCCUAAGAGAGAUCAUAAGUAUAAUUUGUACAUAAACUGUGGAGGAGGAGAACUUAAAGUGGAUAAAGGAACAACAUAUGAAGCUGACCAAAACUCCAAAGGUCCUUCUAUGUUCUUCAGUGUCAAUCACUGGGCGUAUAGCAGCACUGGGAACUUCAUGGACAAUGAUGAUGAUGCUGAUGAUUACAUUGUACAGAACACAUCCAGAUUAUCAAUUAAUGCUUCCUCUCUCAGCUCUGGACUUUACCGGACAGCUAGAGUCUCUCCGUCAUCGCUAACUUACUAUGGACUCUGCCUUGGAAAUGGUAACUACACUGUACACCUCCACUUGGCUGAGAUCAUCUUUACCGAUGACAAGACUCUUUACAGCCUCGGCGAACGUUUGUUCGAUAUUUAUCUUCAGGAUAAGUUGGUCAUUAAGAACUUCAACAUUCAAGAAGCAGCUGGUGGAUCCGGUAAGCCAGUCAUAAAAUCCUUUCCGGUAAAUGUAACGGACCACAAUGUGAAGAUUGGCUUGCGGUGGGCUGGGAAAGGGACAACAGGCAUUCCAAUUAGAGGAGUUUAUGGUCCUAUGAUAUCAGCUAUAUCAGUGGAACCAAAUUUCAAACCUCCGGUGUAUCAUGACAAAAAAGAGAUCAUACUAAAAGCUGGGAUACCUGUUGCAGCAGCACUUCUUUUAUUGCUCAUAUUUGGUAUAUUCUUAAAGAAAAGACGUGACAAAAAUGCUAUUGACAAAGAGCUAAGGAAUUUAGAUCUUCAAACCGGAAGUUUCACUCUGCGACAGAUAAAAGCAGCCACUGAUAAUUUCGAUGCAACAUUGAAGAUUGGUGAAGGUGGAUUUGGCUCUGUUUACAAGGGUGUAUUGUCAGAAGGAAAACUGAUUGCAGUCAAGCAAUUGUCUGCAAAAUCAAGGCAGGGAAACCGCGAGUUUGUAAAUGAGAUAGGAAUGAUCUCAGCUCUACAACAUCCAAAUCUUGUGAAGCUAUAUGGUUGCUGUGUUGAAGGAAACCAGUUGAUAUUGGUGUAUGAGUAUUUGGAGAACAACUGUCUAUCUCGUGCUCUCUUUGGAAAGGAUGUGAAUGCUAGGCUGAAACUAGACUGGUCAACGAGGAAGAAGAUUUGUUUGGGGAUAGCUAAAGGACUUACAUUUCUCCACGAAGAAUCUAGGAUAAAGAUUGUACACAGAGAUAUAAAGGCGAGCAACGUGUUACUCGAUAAGGAUCUCAACGCCAAGAUCUCCGACUUUGGUUUGGCGAAGCUGAACGAUGAUGGAAACACUCACAUCAGCACUCGUAUUGCAGGAACUGUAGGUUAUAUGGCUCCAGAAUACGCCAUGCGUGGUUACUUGACUGAGAAAGCAGAUGUUUAUAGCUUUGGCGUCGUUGCACUCGAGAUCGUAAGUGGGAAGAGUAACACAAACUUUAGGCCAAGCGAGGAGUUCGUUUACCUUCUUGAUUGGGCUUACGUUUUGCAAGAGAAGGGAUGUUUACUAGAGCUGGUUGAUCCGACGUUAGCCUCUGAUUACUCAGAAGAAGAAGCCAUGCUGAUGUUGAACGUGGCGUUGAUGUGCACCAACGCGUCACCGACGCUGAGACCUACGAUGUCUCAAGUGGUGAGUCUGUUAGAGGGAAAGACAGCGAUGCAAGAGUUGCUGUCGGAUCCUAGCUUCUCAACGGUUAACCCGAAGCUUAAAGCAUUGAGGAACCAUUUUUGGCAGAACGAGCUUAGCCGAACGCUUAGCUUCUCUACUACAAGCGGGCCUCAUACUGCCUCCGUCAAUUCACAACUUGAUGCUGAGGAGAAGACUGGACUUUUGGAUUAAUUAACUUCUUAUUAUGUUCCAAUUUCUAAGUGAGAGGUUUGUAGGAGUGGUGAAGUUUUUAUUUAUACUUUUUAAGUGUAUAUAUAAUCAAAGACAUAAUAUCUCCAAACCGUAAAAAUGUUCUGACCUUAAAGUUUUCCAGGUGGAUUCAGUAAAUUUGGAUUUUGUACAAAUCAAUCUUCAUUGGUAAAUUAUAUAUAAGAUUUCCGGUGA